CUGUAGCGCAAAAGACUGCGCGUUGGACUUCUAAUCCAAAGGUCAUGGGUUCGAAUCCCCCCUGAAAGA